rnacentral:rRNA from 1 species
UUGAACGCUGGCGGCAUGCCUUACACAUGCAAGUCGAACGGCAGCGCGGGGCUUCGGCCUGGCGGCGAGUGGCGAACGGGUGAGUAAUGCAUCGGAACGUGCCCUGGAGUGGGGGAUAACUAGUCGAAAGAUUAGCUAAUACCGCAUACGAUCUACGGAUGAAAGUGGGGGAUCGCAAGACCUCAUGCUCCUGGAGCGGCCGAUGUCUGAUUAGCUAGUUGGUGGGGUAAAAGCCUACCAAGGCAACGAUCAGUAGCUGGUCUGAGAGGACGACCAGCCACACUGGUACUGAGACACGGACCAGACUCCUACGGGAGGCAGCAGUAGGGAAUAUUGGACAAUGGGGGCAACCCUGAUCCAGCCAUUCCGCGUGCAGGAAUAAGGCCCUAUGGGUCGUAAACUGCUUUUGUAUGGGAAAAAAUCAUCUUACGUGUAGGGUGUUGAUGGUACCAUGAGAAUAAGGAUCGGCUAACUUCGUG